rnacentral:rRNA from 1 species
AUUGAACGCUGGCGGCAGGCCUAACACAUGCAAGUCGAGCGGAUGAAGGGAGCUUGCUCCUGGAUUCAGCGGCGGACGGGUGAGUAAUGCCUAGGAAUCUGCCUGGUAGUGGGGGAUAACGUCCGGAAACGGGCGCUAAUACCGCAUACGUCCUGAGGGAGAGAGUGGGGGAUCUUCGGACCUCACGCUAUCAGAUGAGCCUAGGUCGGAUUAGCUAGUUGGUGGGGUAAAGGCCUACCAAGGCGACGAUCCGUAACUGGUCUGAGAGGAUGACCAGUCACACUGGAACUGAGACACGGUCAAGAGUCCUACGGGAGGCAGCAGUGGGGAAUAUUGGACAAUGGGCGAAAGCAUGAUCCAGCCAUGCCGCGUGUGUGAAGAAGGUCUUCGGAUUGUAAAGCACUUUAAGUUGGGAGGAAGGGCAGUAAGUUAAUACCUUGCUGUUUUGACGUUACCAACAGAAUAAGCACCGGCUAACUUCGUG